AUACGGAGGGUGCAAGCGUUAUCCGGAUUUAUUGGGUUUAAAGGGUGCGCAGGCGGAUAAUUAAGUCAGUGGUGAAAUCCUCCCGCUCAACGGGAGAACUGCCAUUGAUACUGAUAAUCUGGAAUACGGUUGAAGUGGGCGGAAUGUAGCAUGUAGCGGUGAAAUGCAUAGAGAUGCUACAGAACACCGAUCGCGAAGGCAGCUCACUAAGCCGAUAUUGACGCUCAGGCACGAAAGCGUGGGGAGCGAACAGGAUUAGAAACCCUAGUAGUCC
rnacentral:rRNA from 1 species